rnacentral:pre_miRNA from 1 species
AUUUCAAAGUGGCAGUGCCGCAUGGAGCCCGGGGUCAGCGGGGCACUCAAAGUCCCCCGCUGACCCCAGGCUCCAUGCAGGCACUUGCACUUUGAACU